AGAGCAGCAGCCAGUCUCCCCACAUUCCAGCCUACUCACAUUAUUACUUUGACGUCCCCUUGAAGAAUCUGUGCUGAGGUUCACACGCCAAGGCCGUGUUACCACUCCCCCACCCCGUUGGCAUCUGGAGAGCUCCCAGACCCACCGCUGAGGAAAGCAGAACUGGGAGGCAAAGGAGAAACAAAGUCGCCCAGUUAUGUUUCUUCAUAAUCUCGAUGGAGGUUUUCAAGGUGAAGCUCAAAUAAAGGAGGUAGCCCGAGUCGAAUCCUGAUUUUCUAACUACAAAGGUUGAUCUGAAGAACAAAAAAUUAGCUCAUUCUUGAGCAGGUAGGCCCAGCAAAUCCCAGAGAAUUUCCACCACAGCAAACGGUUCUCACCUUCACCAUUCCCAUAGGUGAGCUGAGACUCGGUUUCCAGCAACAGCUGAGGAAUACUGGCUGUUUCCAUCCAGCGUCUGUUCUGACUAGGGAUGCAAGUGACUCAAGAGGUGCUUACGACUAAAGAUGUAACCUCAGCUGUGGAGGUUGGCUCCAGGUGUGGAUAUGUGAGGGAAAUCUCAGUCAAGGCAGAGGGAAUCUCAGACUUUGGCUGCGAAUUCCAGGAGACACAUGCUCUCCUUGUUCUUGAUGGUGUGACCUGCAGUUGUGGGGGCUGGACUUGCUGCAGUCACUUUGUCACCAUGAGGAAAACCAGCUUGAAGAAGAAGCCGAGAAGGACAGAGCUGAGAGCAUAAUAAAAAAUUAUACAAUAGGUAGAGUUCUGAACAAAUUGUGCCUGAAGCGUACUGUACCUCUGAACUACAGGAGCUAAUAUAUGCUCUUACAUAAUGUAGCCAAUUUGAUGUGGACUUUUUAUAACUUGAAACAAAAAUAACUCCAUCUGAUGUAAUAACUGUGCAUAGUAUAAGAUGGGUACUAGAGUUAUAGAUGGAAGAGGGAUUUGGGGGCAGGUGAAAAAGGUG